rnacentral:rRNA from 1 species
GACGAACGCUGGCGGCGUGCCUAAUACAUGCAAGUCGAACGCAGUGGCGGACGGGUGAGUAACACGUGGGUAACUACCCAUCAGAGGGGGCUAACUAUUGGAAACGAUAGCUAAUACCGCAUACUGUGAGAUGGACAUGCGUUUUAUUAGCUAGUUGGUGAGGUAAGGGCUCACCAAGGCGACGAUACAUAGCCGACCUGGUAGGGUGAUCGGCCAACAUGGGACUGUGAAUCGGCCCAGAUUCCUACGGGAGGCAGCAGUAGGGAAUCUUCGGCAAUGGACGGAAGUCUGACCGAGCAACGACGCGUGAGUGAAGAAGGUUUUCGGAUCGUAAAGCUCUGUUGUUAGAGAAGCGGUAACGAACCAGAAAGGGACGGCUAACUACGUGCCAGCAGCCGCGGUAAUAC